AUUAUGCUCAUUCUUUUUUUUUUUAACCAGUAAGGAUCUGGAUAAAGAAAAACAUUUUAGAAAACCACUUGUAGAGUACCAUGAACCAGUCUCUCUUCUCCAUUUUAAAAAAUUUAUUGACUCACUUUUUUUCCAUAACUUUUUGAGAUAUUAUUUCAACCACUUUGCAUUUAGAGAAAAAGAGUCAGAGAGUGAUUAAGAAAUCUGCCCAAUGCUAUACUGAUAGAAGCUGGGAGAACUGGGAUUUGAGCUUACAUAGGCUAGUUCUAGCAUUUGUGAAGUUCUCGCCUAAUAAAAAUUAUCUGUAAUCAUAACCAGAGCAAGUCAUUUCUAACCUCCUGUCUAUAGACACGCGGAUACAUUUGUAAUGUUUUUGUUUGUUUGUUUUUAGCACGACAGAUCAAUUCCUGCUGGCAUUAUAGUUCUUUAACUAUCAUAGCUUCUCUGAUUUUUCAACACAUCUGUCAUCCGUAUUCUGCAGGCAUAGCCAACUCUGUCAGUGUCUCCUCAGGCAAUCAGAAUCAACAGACAGAAUGUAGGACAGAAAACUGGCUGCAAACAUGUUGGAAGGGCUGGAGGAGCGAAAGAGGGAAGAUCUGUUACCUAGAGAUAGUAACUUCCAGAAGUUACCACUAUACUAGUGCAGGAGAAGCAGAAAGGAAGAUGCUGCUACCCAGAGCCCACAGUCAUUGUGCCCCUGAUGCCGCUGGAACCCCACUGCAGCUGCUUUACAGGAAGCAGGGAAUUAGCGCUCUUGCUGAUGCUACAGGUAUCCAGGAUCCAAAAGUCAUCAGCCGCUGUCCCUGUUGCAGCCUAGGGAAACUGUCCCACUGAGGUUGUUGGGGUACCUGCUACUGCAUCUACUGUCUGAACCAUGUUGCCUGAGCAGAUGUCCAGGGCUCAGGCUUGCCUGCUGCUGUUACUGCUGCCACCAUGUUUAUCAGAGCUACUUCAAGAAGAGAAGAAAUCCUCCUCAUUUCCAGUUUUUUCCAGUGCCUCCCAUUGCUUCCCAGAAUGCCAAAUUCUCUUUGAGAGACAGCUGAAAGGAAGGUUUGGAAAAGACUCUGGUGUAAGCAGAUUCUGCUUCCCUGCAAUAGGGGGAAAGCAUAGGGUGGAACUGGAGCUGAGAGCUAAUCACGAAUGAGCAAAUCAGUCUUCAAGACAUUUACCUUUCCUUGAAACGUUUCCCUUCUUUUACCGUGUUUUCCAUGUCAUUAUUUUUCCACAAUUCUGCAUCAUAUUCUGUUAACUAUUAAUGCCCUGGAUAAGUUUAUUUGCUCUUUCUUAGGGUUAAUUUUUCUCCUUUUCUUCGAAGCUUUAGUUUGCAGGUUCAGCUUGUGUGGGAAUUUUCAUCUCCCUCCUCUUCAAGACUCCUUGGAUAUCAGUUUUUUGGUUGCCUUCACCAACUCUCCCCCCACCAUCUCUAGACCAGGGCAUGGUCUUAGUUGGUGGCUUGGACUCCUGUGGCUUGGAGUCUUUGGGGAUAUUAGAGAUCCAGUCACUGAGCUGGCAAAGGGAACACUGUCCUUGCUUCCAGCUUUAUGAAGAACGCUUUGCUCUGUCACCCCACGUAAAUAAUCAUGUUAUUCAAGGAUAAUGAAUGCAGCCACCAUGUAAUCAUCACUGACUCCAUGGCCAUGAGAAAAGAGACCUAAGAAAUGAUGCCCAUCCAGAAGAGUGAAGACUUCCUGAAAAUGUUCUUUUAACCUAAGAUGUAGGUUAAGAGGAGUGAAAAAAUGUUCUGUUUCUGACUGAUGAUGGAGCAACAAAGGAACUCCUAAAGAAGAAAUCAUCCAUUCAGUGAGAGCAAAUGAACACUCCAACAGACUGAAACAAAGCAUCUUUACAGGAGAUGUGAAUGCGAGAAAGCAAAGAGAACUACAGUCAGGGUCUCCGCUGGCAUGGCCCAAGCCCACCGUGGCAUGAUCCAGAGAGACGAGUCAGCAGAGCACUAUGGGCAGCUCCCAUACUCUUCGCAGAUCAACAAGCCAGCAUAUAACCCAGGGAGAUAGAUAAUAGUGAUGCUGUGCUCUGUAGAGGGUAGUGGCAACAGUGGGAUUUCUUCUGGAAUAAAUCUGUAGUGAGCCAGAUGUUUCUGCUGACUAUAUUACUUCUGACAGUGUAUAAUCCAAAAUUGUUUCCUUGGCCUUCCAAAAAGUUUUAUAAGCUCCCUAACGGCUGCAAUAAAUCCCUUUCUUCUUAAA
rnacentral:lncRNA from 1 species